CAGCACCUCAAGUGGUCAGGAUGAUUAUUGGGCCUAAAGCAUCCGUAGCUUGCUUUGUCAGUUUUCGGUUAAAUCUGUACGCUCAACGUACAGGCUGCCGGGAAUACUGCAGCGCUAGGGAGUGGGAGAGGUAGACGGUACUCGGUAGGAAGGGGUAAAAUCCUUUGAUCUAUUGAUGACCACCUGUGGCGAAGGCGGUCUACCAGAACACGUCCGACGGUGAGGGAUGAAAGCUGGGGGAGCAAACCGGAUUAGAUACCCGAGUAGUCC
rnacentral:rRNA from 1 species